rnacentral:rRNA from 1 species
UACUGGGCGUAAAGGGCGCGUAGGCGGUGAUGUGAGUGUGAUGUGAAAGCCCCGGGCUUAACCUGGGAAGUGCAUCGCAAACGACAUGACUGGAGUAGAUGAGAGGGUGGCGGAAUUUCCGGUGUAGCGGUGAAAUGCGUAGAGAUCGGAAGGAACGUCAAAGGCGAAGGCAGCCACCUGGCAUCAUACUGACGCUGAGGCGCGGAAAGCGUGGGGAGCGAACAGGAUUAGAUACCCUGGGUAGUCCACGCUGUAAACGAUGAGAACUAAAUGUUGGAGGGGGAACCCUUCAGUAUUGAAGCUAACCGCGAUAAGUUCUCCGCCUGGGAAGUACAGUCGCAAGACUGAAACUCAAAAGAAUUGACGGGGGCCCGCACAAGCGGUGGAGCAUGUGGUUUAAUUCGAUGCAACGCGAAGAACCUUACCUACCCUUGACAUCCUGCGAAUCCCGAUGAGAGUUGGGAGUGCCGCAAGGAACGCAGAGACAGGUGCUGCAUGGCUGUCGUCAGCUCGUGUUGUGAGAUGUUGGGUUAAGUCCCGUAACGAGCGCAACCCUUGUCCUUAGUUGCCAUCAUUUAGUUGGGGACUCUAAGGAGACUGCCGGUGAUGAACCGGAGGAAGGCGGGGACGACGUCAAGUCAUCAUGGCCUUUAUGGGUAGGGCUACACACGUGCUACAAUGGGGCGUACAGAGGGUCGCCAACCCGCGAGGGGGAGCCAAUCUCUUAAAGCGUCUCGUAGUCCGGAUUGGAGUCUGCAACUCGACUCCAUGAAGUCGGAAUCGC